AUACGUAGGUGACAAGCGUUAUCCGGAUUUACUGGGCGUAAAGGGCGUGUAGGCGGUCUUGCAAGACAGAAGUGAAAUUCCUGAGCUCAACUCGGGCGCUGCUUCUGAAACUGCAGGACUUGAGUGCUGGAGGGGUUAGCGGAAUUCCUUGUGGAGCGGUAAAAUGCGCAGAUAUUAGGAAGAACACCGGUGGCGAAGGCGGCUAUCUGGACAGUAACUGACGCUGAGGCGCGAAAGCGUGGGGAGCAAACAGGAUUAGAUACCCUGGUAGUCCACGCCGUAGACGAUGAAUACUAGGUGUAGGGGGUAUCGACUCCCUCUGUGCCGCAGUUAACACAAUAAGUAUUCCGCCUGGGGAGUACGGCCGCAAGGUUGAAACUUAAAGGAAUUGACGGGG
rnacentral:rRNA from 1 species